GCGGCGGGCAGAGAGCAGAGGGACAGAUCGCUUCGUUCUGUCUGCAGAGACCGGCUCUCUGGUACUGGUGUUACAAACCAGAAGCGUGCGCGGGGAGUGAUGCGCCAAGCCCACCCACCUACGCUGCACGAGGAACAGACCCAUUCUCCUUCAUGCGGUCAGGCUUGGUUAUGUCGUGUUUGGAGCGCCUCAGAAGACGCGAUGUGGAGGAGUGUUUCCCUGGGACCAGAAUGGUGUCGAUCACUAGAGCAGAUGGUCUAAUAUCGUGGAGCCCUUGCCUGUGCCACACGCUGGAUCCCUGAAGACAGAGUAGUGAAGAAAUUGGAGAAAUUGACCAUAAAUUUUCCUUUGGAGAAACUGACCAUAAUUGUCCUGGAAAACAACCCACUACGACGAGUCAAGGAGCAGUGAGGACAGGAUUCUUCAACACUGGAUGUGUCACGUCACCUAGGAUUUUCACAGAAAGCCUUCUUUGACGAACAAUUUUCCUCACUCUGGAAUUUACUAAGAGACAACCAAAAUUGUGCUGAAAUUGCAUGUACUCUCACUUAGGGAGACAUAUGUAGAUUGGGUCACAAGACAAAGGCAAAGUGGAGAGAACUGUAAAGCAGGAAGUGAAAUGACAAUGUUCCAGAGGAGAAAUUAGGAGAAUGAAAACAUCAGUCAAAAGUGGGAAAUGAGGGGCGCCUGGGUGGCUCAGUCGUUAAGCGUCUGCCUUCGGCUCAGGUCAUGAUCCCAGGGUCCUGGGAUCGAGUCCCACAUCGGGC